UACAGAGGUCCCAAGCGUUGUUCGGAUUCAUUGGGCGUAAAGGGUGCGUAGGCGGCGCCGUAAGUCAGGUGUGAAAUCUCGGGGCUUAACUCCGAAACUGCAUUUGAUACUGCGGUGCUUGAGGACUGGAGAGGAGACUGGAAUUUACGGUGUAGCGGUGAAAUGCGUAGAUAUCGUAAGGAAGACCAGUGGCGAAGGCGGGUCUCUGGGCCAUAACUGACGCUGAGAAGCGAAAGCAUGGGGAGCGAACAGG
rnacentral:rRNA from 1 species